AGACUGAACGCUGGCGGCAGGCCUAACACAUGCAAGUCGAGCGGUAGAGAGGUGCUUGCACCUCUUGAGAGCGGCGGACGGGUGAGUAAUGCCUAGGAAUCUGCCUAGUGGUGGGGGAUAACGUUCGGAAACGGACGCUAAUACCGCAUACGUCCUACGGGAGAAAGCGGGGGACCUUCGGGCCUCGCGCCAUUAGAUGAGCCUAGGUCGGAUUAGCUAGUUGGUGAGGUAAUGGCUCACCAAGGCGGCGAUCCGUAACUGGUCUGAGAGGAUGAUCAGUCACACUGGAACUGAGACACGGUCCAGACUCCGUACGGGAGGCAGCAGUGGGGAAUAUUGGACAAUGGGACGAAAGCCUGAUCCAGCCAUGCCGCGUGUGUGAAGAGGUCUUGGUUAGUAAGUCCUUUGUGGAAAGAAAUCCUAGCCGUUAAAUAACC
rnacentral:rRNA from 1 species